AACGAACGCUGGCGGCAUGCCUAACACAUGCAAGUCGAACGAGACCUUCGGGUCUAGUGGCGCACGGGUGCGUAACGCGUGGGAAUCUGCCCCUUGGUUCGGAAUAACAGCGAGAAAUUACUGCUAAUACCGGAUGAUGACUUCGGUCCAAAGAUUUAUCGCCCAAGGAUGAGCCCGCGUAAGAUUAGCUAGUUGGUGAGGUAAAAGGCCUCUUUUUACCAAGGCGACGAUCUUUAGCUGGUCUGAGAGGAUGAUCAGCCACACUGGGACUGAGACACGGCCCAGACUCCUACGGGUGGCAGCAGUGGGGAAUAUGACAAUGGCGAAAGACCUGAUCCAGCAAUGCCGCGUGAGUGAUGAAGCCUAGGGUUGUAAAGCUCUUUACCUAGGGA
rnacentral:rRNA from 1 species